AUUGAACGCUGGCGGCAGGCUUAACACAUGCAAGUCGAGCGAGCGGCGGACGGGUGAGUAAUGUGUGGGAAAAAGCCCGUUGGAGGGGGAUAUCAAUAGUAAAAGGUAGAUAAUAUAGCACACGACAACAGGUGUCCCGAUGGGAUUAGCUAGUGGGUGGGGUAAAGGCUCACCUAGGCGACGAUCCCUAGCUGGUCUGAGAGGAUGACCAGCCACACUGGAACUGAGACACGGUCCAGACUCCUACGGGAGGCAGCAGUGGGGAAUAGUGCACAAUGGGCGCAAGCCUGAUGCAGCCAUGCCGCGUGUGUGAAGAAGGCCUUCGGGUUGUAAAGCACUUUCAGCGGGGAGGCGUUACUCGCAGAAGAAGCACCGGCUAACUCCGUGCCAGCAGCCGCGGUAAUAC
rnacentral:rRNA from 1 species